rnacentral:rRNA from 1 species
UACAGAGGGUGCAAGCGUUAAUCGGAAUUACUGGGCGUAAAGCGCGCGUCGGUGGUUAGUUAAGUUGGAUGUGAAAUCCCCGGGCUCAACCUGGGAACUGCAUUCAAAACUGACUGACUAGAGUAUGGUAGAGGGUGGUGGAAUUUCCUGUGUAGCGGUGAAAUGCGUAGAUAUAGGAAGGAACACCAGUGGCGAAGGCGACCACCUGGACUGAUACUGACACUGAGGUGCGAAAGCGUGGGGAGCAAACAGG